CCCAGCAGCUAUAUCACCCUGCAGCCCACUGAAGCCAAGCAGGUGUGAGCCUGGUCAGUACCUGGUUGGGAGACCUCCUGGGAAAACCUAAGGUUGCUGCUGGAA
rnacentral:rRNA from 1 species